rnacentral:rRNA from 1 species
AUGACUGGCCCGACAGAUUCAUCCUCAACCAGCAAUCUGGAGAUGCAGUCCUUACAACUUGAUGUCCAAACACUGCAGAGAAAUCGAGAGCAGGACAGACAGGACUUUGAGGAUUUCAGGGACCAUGUGCAAGACAAUUUUCAGUCCAUGCAGAAGACUCUGGGAGAAUUACAGGGCACACUUAACAAGUUUAUCUCUGGUUUUCCCAAGCCACGAGAAACCCCACCCAUUCCCCAAGAUAUCCCUCAAGGCAGUGGCCAAAAUCAUACACCGCAAGGCCCAGUGCCUCGGCCAGACGAUGGCCUCCAAACCCCUCCUACUACAGGCUCUGUAACCUUGGUGGAUAAGCACACUGGAAAAGAACUUAACUUGGAUGGCAGCACCAAAAUUCCUUACAGGCACCCCCACUUUGCUGACAACAAACUUCCUCCACUUGAUGCCUGA